UACGAGGGGUCCUAGCGUUGUUCGGAAUCACUGGGCUUAAAGGGUGCGUAGGCGGCGCGGAAAGUUGGGUGUGAAAUCCCUCGGCUUAACCGAGGAACUGCGCCCAAAACUACCGUGCUUGAGGGAGAUAGAGGUGAGCGGAACUUAGGGUGGAGCGGUGAAAUGCGUAGAGAUCGGCAGGAACACCCAGGGGGAAACCAGUGGACUGGGCAGGAGCUGACGCUCAGGUGCGAAAGCGUGGGGAGCGAACCGG
rnacentral:rRNA from 1 species